rnacentral:rRNA from 1 species
UGGGUAGGGGAACUGAGAGGUUUAUCCGCCACACUGGUACUGAGACACGGACCAGACUCCUACGGGAGGCAGCAGUGAGGAAUAUUGGUCAAUGGGCGAGGGCCUGAACCAGCCAAGUAGCGUGAAGGAAGACAGUCCUAAGGAUUGUAAACUUCUUAUAUACGGGAAUAACGGGCGAUACGAGUAAUGCAUUGAAUGUACCGUAAGAAUAAGCAUCGGCUAACUCCGUGCCAGCAGCCGCGGUAAUACGGAGGAUGCGAGCGUUAUCCGGAUUUAUUGGGUUUAAAGGGUGCGUAGGUUGUUCGGUAAGUCAGCGGUGAAACCUGAGCGCUCAACGUUCAG